AAUUCGAUUUUGGAGGGCAAGUCUGGUGCCAGCAGCCGCGGUAAUUCCAGCUCCAAUAGCGUAUAUUAAAGUUGUUGCAGUUAAAAAGCUCGUAGUUGAAUUUCGGGGUCAAUAGGUUGGUCGUGCCAAUGGUAUGUACUGGCUUUAUUGAUUCCUACCUCUUGACGAACUGUGAUGCCAUUAAUUUGGUGUUGCAGGAAAUCAGGACUGUUACCUUGAAAAAAUUAGAGUGUUUAAAGCAGGCAUUUUGCUUGAAUACAUUAGCAUGGAAUAAUAAAAUAGGACGGCAUGAUUCUAUUUUGUUGGUUUCUAGGAUCACUGUAAUGAUUAAUAGGGAUAGUUGGGGGCAUUAGUAUUCAAUUGUCAGAGGUGAAAUUCUUGGAUUUAUUGAAGACGAACUACUGCGAAAGCAUUCGCCAAGGAUGUUUUCAUUAAUCAGUGAACGAAAGUUAGGGGAUCGAAGACGAUCAGAUACCGUCGUAGUCUUAACCAUAAACUAUGCCGACUAGGGGUCGGACGGUGGUUUUUUUAUGCCCCGUUCGGCGCCUUACGGGAAACAAUCACUAGUG
rnacentral:rRNA from 1 species